rnacentral:rRNA from 1 species
UACGAAGGGGCUAGCGUUGCUCGGAAUUACUGGGCGUAAAGCGCACGUAGGCGGCUUCUAAGUCGGAGGUGAAAUCCUGGAGCUCAACUCCAGAACUGCCUUCGAUACUGGAGAGCUUGAGUCCGGGAGAGGUGAGUGGAACUGCGAGUGUAGAGGUGAAAUUCGUAGAUAUUCGCAAGAACACCAGUGGCGAAGGCGGCUCACUGGCCCGGUACUGACGCUGAGGUGCGAAAGCGUGGGGAGCAAACAGG